UCUGUGUGUGUGUGUGUAUGUAUGUGUGUAUAUAAUCAUUCUCACACACACACACAAUACACACAGA